rnacentral:misc_RNA from 1 species
GAUGAAGAACGUAGCGAAAUGCGAUAAGUAAUGUGAAUUGCAGAAUUCCGUGAAUCAUCGAAUCUUUGAACGCAUAUUGCGCCCCCUGGUAUUCCGGGGGGCAUGCCUGUCCGAGCGUCAUUACAACCCUCAAGCUCAGCUUGGUGUUGGGCCCCGCCGCCCCGGCGGGCCCUAAAGUCAGUGGCGGUGCCGUCCGGCUCCGAGCGUAGUAAUUCUUCUCGCUCUGGAGGUCCGGUCGUGUGCUCGCCAGCAACCCCCAAUUUUUUUCAGGUUGACCUCGGAUCAGGUAGGGAUACCCGCUGAACUUAAGCAUAUCAAUAAGCGGAGGA